ACCAGGCAAAGGGGAAGCAGCAGCCCUUUCCAGGGGAGGCCACAGGUCCAAAGCUCAGAGGCCAUCCAGAGGCCAGUGAGUUCAAGGGACCGCAAGCGGCCACAUCUCACUAGAACAAAGCAUUUUCCAGAGGCAGCGUGGUGUGAUCCAGGCGGAGAGAACACAGCUCUGUUCUGUUCUGGGAGCCUCGCAAUGAGAUGCAGUCGGUCCUCACGGCUCCAAGCUGAAGCAGGGGGCAGUGAAGCAUGUCGUCACCACCAGGACUGAGGAGGAGGCCAACCCCAGAGACACCACCCCUAGAAGUAGCCGUUGGGCUCUGGUGAAGACACCGGGACCAGGACGCAGCAGGAGGGAUCAAAAGCCUGGGAUGCACCGUGCCAGGCCCCAUCACCAAUGUUUUCCCAUGAAUCCCACUCACAGUCCUGAGAGGCAUCUGCCCAUUUCACAGAUGGAAUCUGAGAGCUCGAUGGGAAAGGCCAGGCCAAGUUCCCAGAGCUAACGAGUAGAGAAGCUGGGAUUUGAAUCCAGGCCCGCAGGUCCCUGAGAGGAGCCCCAGACACCAGGCCACCAGGAAAGCCAUCUCAGCUCAGCAUCCCUCUCCCAAUUCUGCAGAGAUCCAGAGAAGGAAGUGGUCAUAGGGCUAGAAGUGGAGAUCCAAGGAUUUGAACCCAGCUCUGUUUGGUUCCAAGACCAGGGCUCUUUCUGUUCCCCAUAGCAGAAGAAAGAAAGAAACGAAAGAAAGGAAGGGAGGGAGGGAGGGAGGGAGGGAAUGGGGGGCAAAAGAAAGAAAGGCCAUUUUCCAUCCCCAAAGGCCAGGGCUGUGGGGGAGCCGGGGUGGCCAUGGCCCCACAGCUGGGGAGAGAGGAAAGCACACUGAACCCACUUCCCUGCUGAAAACUCAAGCCUGAAAUAAAAGACUGAGUGCUAUUUCUGCCUUGGGUUAAACAUUCCUCAAAGCCACAUUCCUCCUGCCCUCCCCCUGCUCCCCUGCCAGGGAAUUCAGAGCACAGUGGCCUGGAUGCCUCACCAGCCUCCUGGGGCCCCCUCGGUGGUCAGAAGUGCAGCUACCCUGCACCCCGUCCUGGGCAAGGAGCACCUCCACCCACAGCACAGUCAGGGCACACGGAGCUGAGAAAUGGUGACACCACAUCUCAUAGACAGUGAAACAGAUCGGGAGACAGCAGCCCUAGGAGCAGCAGCCAGAGGCCAUAGCAGGCCAGGCCGGAGCUGGGACCCAACUCUGAGCUCCCUGGCUGUCCCCCUUCCCCGACAGAUUGCAAGUCAGGAGCACCGGCAGGUCCUGUCCUGGUCACCAGGGAAAGCAGACCACAGCACUGCAUGGAAAAACUCUUCGGAAGGAUUCCAGCCUUUUGCAGGGGCAAAGAUGCCCCAGGCCACGCAUCCCACAGACACCAAAGACCACAAGAUGUGGCCCAGCCCUCAAGGAGCUUAAAGUCAUGGGGGUCCCCUCGGCCACCAUGCCCCCAAGCCCACACUGCACCUAUGAAGAUUUGGUCUCUUUCUCCAUCAGACAGAUACCUCCGAAGGCACCUGGGCUGAGCCAGGCACAGGGCAGCGCAGGACUGUCAGGAGUGCUCAGUCCUCACUACUUUGUCCAGGACAGGGCUUCCCAGGAGAAGGGGUGGUGCAGCACAUAAAAUGGGGUACACCGUGCCGGGCACGGUCGCUCAUGCCUGUAAUCUCAGCACUUCGGGAGGCCAAGGAUCAUGAGGUCAGGAGUUCGAGACCAUUCUAGCCAACAUGGUGAAACCCUGUCUCUACUAAAAUUACAAAAAUUAGCUGGGCGAGGUGGCGGCGUGCACCUGUAGUCUCAGCUACUUGGGAGGCUGAGGCAGGAGAAUUGUGUGAACCCAGAAGGCAGAGGUUACAGUGAGCCGAGAUAGCGCCACUGCACUUCAGCCUGGAGACAGAACCAGAUCCGCCUCAAAAAAAGAAAAAAAAGUUGGGGCACAUUGCUCCUGAGUUCCCAGGGCGGGAGGAUCACCAUUGGGAUCAGCCCAGCGCCUGAGCCUCCACUAGCAUGGGUGGAGGCUGAGGAUGCCCUUGAGGCCAGGGCACAGCUGCAGCCUACACUCAUCAGCGCUUCUCCUCCUGCUGCCUUUCCACAAGGCCUCAGCUCCGCCUCCUGCCUGGCGGAGGCUGCCCCAUAUAUCCCCAGCAGAAGGCAAAACCUCUGGAACCAGCAAGAAGGAUCCUACCCACC